AGGUGCAAUUGUUUGUUUUUUUCUUCCCCCAGUGUUGUAUUUGGUUUAGCUCUUGGUGGGUGGCUUUAAGAGAACAAGGCAUAUGCUGCAUGCAAAGUGUACACAACAACAACUCCAACAUCAACGGUAAUUUUCAUCUGUCACUAGGAAACCAGUAUAAGCAGAAAUUCUGCUCUUCGUCGUGGGUGCCACCUGGAGCGCAAGUUAAUAGAGAUAAACAUGGAGCUGGGCAAAAAGUUGUUCUUUGCAGAGGAUAAAGAAUAAAGACUUGAAGCAUAGAAGAGGAAGCGAGCGCACAUACUGAUGCGCCCGCCCACCCAACACACUCAGAGCAGCCGAGUGACAGAGGUGACAGCUAGAGCAGGGCGGUAAGCCAAAAAUAUACCGUUAC